rnacentral:rRNA from 1 species
ACGGAGGGUGCGAGCGUUGUCCGGAAUCACUGGGCGUAAAGCGCGCGUAGGUGGCUUCGUAAGUCCGCUGUGAAAGUCAAAGGCUCAACCUUUGAAAGCCGGUGGAUACUGCGGAGCUAGAGUACGGAAGAGGCGAGUGGAAUUCCUGGUGUAGCGGUGGAAUGCGCAGAUAUCAGGAGGAACACCAAUAGCGAAGGCAGCUCGCUGGGACGUUACUGACACUGAGGCGCGAAAGCGUGGGGAGCGAACAGGA